UCCAAUUUCGUUAUCCUAACUUUAUUUCAUAAAUUAUUAAGUUAAAAUCGGGGUGUUUCUAUAUAUGUCGUGUAUUAGAACGAUUAUUAUAUCUCUUAAUUGAUUUAAAAACAUUUUUUAUUGGCGGAAAUAGAAGAUUUCAACCGGAAAUGUUUAUAGUUUUCUUUCAAGGUUUUCAUAACCUCAACACCAAAUUAAAUAAUCAACCCAAAAAAGUUUGUCGAUUUCUUCAUAGAUGGCGCUAGUUUCGAUACGAACAAUUUUGACGUUUCUCCAAUUUCGUUAUCCCAACUUUAUUUCAUAAUUAUUAAGUUAAAAUCGGGAUGUUUCUAUAUAUGUUGUACAUUAGAACGAUUAUUAUACCUCCUAAUUGAUUUAAAAACAUUUUUCAUUGGCGGAAAUAGAAGAUUUCAACCUGAAAUGUUUAUAGUUUUCUUUCAAGGUUUUCAUAACCUCAACACCAAAAUCUCAAGUUCGCCAACAUCGUCAUCGGAUUAUCCAGAAAAAUUCGUCAAAUUUUAAAGGUUAGUGUUUAUUUAAAUCUUAUUUGAUUUAUUUAAAUAAUUAUGUUAAUACAAAAAGUGAGUCACCCCCAUCUAGCGGUGCUAAAUCGUAUUUUUGAC